UACGUAGGGUGCGAGCGUUGUCCGGAAUUACUGGGCGUAAAGGGCGCGUAGGCGGUUCGAUAAGUCCCGUGUGAAAUCCCUCGGCUCAACUGAGGAACUGCACGGGAAACUGACGGGCUUGAGUCCGGGAGAGGGAAGCGGAAUUCCGGGUGUAGCGGUGAAAUGCGUAGAUAUCCGGAGGAACACCGGUGGCGAAGGCGGCUUCCUGGACCGACACUGACGCUGAGGCGCGAAAGCUAGGGGAGCAAACGGG
rnacentral:rRNA from 1 species